rnacentral:lncRNA from 1 species
AAAAAAAAAAAAACAAAACAAAACAAAAUCGCUGUGCGUAUGAAACGCACAGCAGUUGUCCAUUCACACAUGCACAAGAGCCGUUCUAAUUACACAUGCACUCCAGACUGCCUAAUCGCAGACCAUCGUCGUUGACGCCGGAGAAGCAGAACGACGAGUACCCAUAUGACUCAAACUCUGAUAUGGGUUUGAUUUGCCAAUUGCGUCUUAGAAAAAUUAGAAAAAGAAACAAGGGAGAUGAACGGAGAAAAAUAGGAAGAAAAAGGUGGAGAUGAAAGGGUAGAGGGACAAAGAA